CUGGCUCAGGAUGAACGCUGGCGGCGUGCCUAACACAUGCAAGUCGAACGGAGAAUAUACGUUUCAGAAGCUUCGGCAGAUGAUUGUAUAUUCUUAGUGGCGGACGGGUGAGUAACGCGUGGGCAACCUGCCUCAUACUGGGGGAUAACAGCUGGAAACGACUGUUAAUACCGCAUAAGCGCACAGUGUCGCAUGACACAGUGUGAAAAACUCCGGUGGUAUGAG
rnacentral:rRNA from 1 species